rnacentral:rRNA from 1 species
GACGAACGCUGGCGGCGUGCUUAACACAUGCAAGUCGAACGGAAAGGCCCUGCUUUUGUGGGGUGCUCGAGUGGCGCACGGGUGAGUGACACGUGUGUAACCUGCCCUUGACUUUGUGAUAACUUCAGGAAACUGGGGCUAAUACCGGAUAGGAGCUCCUGCUGCAUGGUGGGGGAUGGAAAGUUUCGGCGGUUGGGGCUGGACUCGCGGCUUAUCAGCUUGAUGGUGGGGUAGUGGCUUACCAAGCCUAUGACGGGUAGCCGGCCUGGGAGGGUGACCGGCCACAAUGGGCCUGAGAGACGGCCCAGACUCCUACGGGAGGCAGCAGUGGGGAAUAUUGCACAACGGGCGGAAGCCUGAGGCAGCAAUCCCGCGUUCGGGAUGACGGGUUUCUGGUUGUAAACCGCUUUCGCCUGUGACGAAGCGUGAGUGACGGUAAUGAGUAAAGAAGCACCGGCUAACUACGUG